UUCCUGCUGGGUGAGGUCACAUCGUGCAGUAACGCACAUUUCUGUUUCCAGGGGCUUAGUGAUGUGGAUAGCGCCCCUUUGGAAGUCCACCCGAAGAAAGAGCAUCCAUGAAGGCCAGCCUCCAGGCUCCUUGAUUUCUCAGGGCUCUCGUGUCCACAGAAUUAGCCAUGUUGCCGGAUUGUUUUCUUCUAGCUUGGUUCUUGGGAAGGCCUUAUUUUUUCUAGCCUGGUUCUUGGGAAAGCCAGUCAUCUGUUCAAGUCAUUUGCCUGAUUUGUAUUGCUGGGUUCAUAGGUGCACUCGCCCUGACCUCUUGCUACAACCGACCUGGUACUAUUUCAUUAUGGAAAUGCGGAAAGUGGCGCCCGUGAGCAGCCGAAAUAGCUCAGUUGGGAGAGCGUUAGACUGAAGAUCUAAAGGUCCCUGGUUCGAUCCCG
rnacentral:lncRNA from 1 species